rnacentral:tRNA from 1 species
CGGGCUAUGGCGUAGUUUGGUAACGCGCUGCACUGGGGGUGCAGAGAUCGUAGGUUCAAAUCCUGCUAGCCCGA